rnacentral:rRNA from 1 species
UACGUAGGGGGCUAGCGUUGUCCGGAUUUAUUGGGCGUAAAGGGUGCGUAGGCGGCGCGGUAAGUCGGGUGUGAAAUCUCGGAGCUUAACUCCGAAACUGCAUUCGAUACUGCCGUGCUUGAGGACUGGAGAGGAGACUGGAAUUUACGGUGUAGCGGUGAAAUGCGUAGAUAUCGUAAGGAAGACCAGUGGCGAAGGCGGGUCUCUGGACAGUUCCUGACGCUGAGGCACGAAGGUCAGGGGAGCAAACGGG